rfam:Hordeum vulgare subsp. vulgare, WGS project CAJW01000000 data, contig: morex_contig_98708
GGGGAUGUAGCUCAAAUGGUAGAGCAUUUAUUAUGCUAAUGAAAGGCAGGGGGAUCGAUACCUCCCAUCUCCA